rnacentral:rRNA from 1 species
UACGUAGGGUGCGAGCGUUGUCCGGAAUUAUUGGGCGUAAAGGGCUCGUAGGCGGUCUGUCACGUCGGGAGUGAAAACUCAGGGCUUAACCCUGAGCCUGCUUCCGAUACGGGCAGACUAGAGGUAUGCAGGGGAGAACGGAAUUCCUGGUGUAGCGGUGAAAUGCGCAGAUAUCAGGAGGAACACCGGUGGCGAAGGCGGUUCUCUGGGCAUUACCUGACGCUGAGGAGCGAAAGUGUGGGGAGGCGAACAGG